rnacentral:rRNA from 1 species
UGGGGAAUAUUGCACAAUGGGCGAAAGUCUGAUGCAGCAACGCCGCGUGAGCGAUGAAGGCCUUCGGGUCGUAAAGCUCUGUCCUCAAGGAAGAUAAUGACGGUACUUGAGGAGGAAGCCCCGGCUAACUACGUGCCAGCAGCCGCGGUAAUACGUAGGGGGCUAGCGUUAUCCGGAAUUACUGGGCGUAAAGGGUGCGUAGGUGGUUUCUUAAGUCAGAGGUGAAAGGCUACGGCUCAACCGUAGUAAGCCUUUGAAACUAGGAAACUUGAGUGCAGGAGAGGAGAGUGGAAUUCCUAGUGUAGCGGUGAAAUGCGUAGAUAUUAGGAGGAACACCAGUUGCGAAGGCGGCUCUCUGGACUGUAACUGACACUGAGGCACGAAAGCGUGGGGAGCAAACA